GUUGUACUUAUUAUUAAUUGACGUUAAAAUAUAUACUUCAUUUUAUCAUCAAAGACUGAAAGAAGAAAGAGAGCAAUUUCUCAUUCUCGCAGAAUAAAGUUUCUCCUUAAAGUACUGAGAGCUAAGAGAAAAAAGAAUUACACGAUUUUUAAAACUAUUCUCGUCUGCGGAGGAGCCGUUAUCCCUUUAUCGCCAAUUGCACCACGCCCCGUAUAUAACGUCUUGCGCGAUUCCGCUUCGCAAUUCGGAUGCGGGCUUUAUGCAACUGCGGAGGAUAUCGGCUUGAUUCACUCGCGUGCGCCGACAGACGUGACGCAGUCCGCGUUCUUGCUCACAGAAGUCGCCACGAUGCUCGGACUCCACGCGUCGUCGCCGGGAGUCAACGUCGCCGGGGAUAUAUGCGCGAUUCGCCGCGGUAAAUCCGCGGCCGCGCCGAAAGCACCUUACUUUUGUAUUAAUGCUUAUACCGAGUGAAAGUGUAUCGCGCAUUCCGCAAAUGUGUACGAGCGUCCACACCGUCGUCGUUGCGUUCGUAGCAACGGGCGAAAUCACGCGCCCUCCUCACUGAUGUUUCGUUUGCCUCGGAGAGAGAGAAUAAGAUGUAAAAAAAAAAGAAAAUUGCACUCGAUGUUUCACGCGAAGAAUGUACGAAAUAGCUCUCUGAGCUCUAGUCUUAUAAAUUCCUCGAUUGUUCGUUUCUUUAUAAUUAAAAAAAAAAUCGAUAAUCCUUCGAUUACGAAAGAAGAAUAUAAAUCCUCUUAAAUCUCGUUCGUUAAUUCAUUCAGUCGUUCGUGAUGAAGACAAACGAUAAAAUGAUAAUGUAAACAGCAAAAAUAUGAAGUAGUCUGCGGAAAAAAAAAAGAAAAAGAAAACUGGUCUACGAGGCUCUUAAUCGUGAGAUCUGCAGCGAGAAGGGAGGAAGGAACGAACGGAGGACUAGGCCGAAUUAAUGCGUCGCAGAACUUAUUUUCGCACCUGUGUCUCCGGUGAAGAUAACGGCUGAUACGACGCCGAAGCGCGAUAGCGCCCGCGUCGUGCCGCAUUCCAGCGCGCGUCCCGACGGCGCGGCGCGGCGACGAAACAGGCCGAUCGCGCAUCUCGCUGGGUAGGCAAUUAAUUCGACGACAACGUGGCGCUUAAUCCCCAACCGGCGCGCGUUUACCAUAUCGUAAACAACUGCGUAAUAACUUCGAUCGUCGGCCGCUCGUCAGGAGCUUUAAACUAAAGGGGAAAAAAAAUGUUUUCUUUUUAAAUCGCCUCCUGCGGCUUUUGGAAUCGAGUCCGCGCGAUUAAACACGCAUUAAUCAAACUGAAAAAUCAAACCGCUGACGCGGACGAAGCUUCGACGUGUCUUCACCUACUACCGACUUUUCGCCAGGUGCUGCAAUUUUUCACGAACAAUCGAGUAUCACUUCGGAUUAUUAUGUCGAUAGCGCCGGGACACCCGGUACAUAUUCGCGGUAGCACCGUUACCUUAUCGGCCAGAUACAGCGAGAUUUAACGAAUUCCUGCCGGGGAAAGUUCUCGGUGCAUUUUGCGUUUAUUGGCACACACACGCGCGCGCGCGCGCGUGCAUAUGUAUAGGUACAUAUUUUAUGUGACUUAUAUCUGCGUUAAUAUAAGCGGUGUAUGCGCAUGCAGCGAAGACACUCGCUCGUGCAAAAUGUUUGCACAUGCUGCGCGUGAAUCAUGCCCGUUUCGGCGCAGAAUUACGACGCGGCAAUUAAAUAUAUAGAUUAUCGGUAUGCAAAACGAAACGGGCUGCUCUCUUUUUCCUUCUUCUUAUACGCGGAUAUCGUCUCAUUCUUCGAUCGUGUUCAAACAUAUCAAUCGCAUACAGAGAGCUGAUUUCAAAAGAAUCAUAAGAAAGUCGUAAGGAAUUUUAGAAUAAGCUUCACGAUAUCUCCCGUUCGAAAUUGGUUCGAGAAUCUACGUGCAAAAGGCGGGCCUGUUAAACAGGCCUGCGACCUGUGUGCGAGUGUUUUGUUUCAAUCACGAGAGACCGUCUCGUUCGAUCUAUUUCUGUCUCCUCCCGCCCAUUCCGGCUCUUAAUUGCGAGCCUAAUCGGCAAAUGUUCGAUCGAACGUAUAUAAAUAUAGUCUAUCGUUCAAAUUAAAUUACGUUUACGAGAGUGCUUGGCGACGCGCGAGUGCGGCGACAGGAGGAAAGUAUUAUGCGAAAGGAAAGUUGUGCUAUCGCUAUCGUUCGCCUGCGAAAAGUCUCCGCGCGAAUCGUGGAUUUGAAUUUUUAUUCGGCGUCUAGCGAACGUCUGACUCCGCGCAUAAGAUACGUAAGCGCGCGCGCGCGCGCGCGCGGUUCGCGAUGGUAGGCCGCCGCGAGAGAUGCUGAUAUGAAUGGAAUGCGAUGCUAUUAUCGGAGUGUACCUACCGAUAACUCGUUACGUCGCGCGGCUUCGCCGGGGAGAGAGAGAGAGAGAAGAGGGAGGAGGGGAAGAGAGUGCUCCACGGCGCGAACGAAGCAAAAGGUCGUAACUCCCGAAGAAUCGCGUUCGCGGAAAACGGUAUGUGAAUGCGCACGACGAGAGCGAGGAAUCUCCCAACGCGGAUGUUUUCCCAGAGUAUUUUUUCCGAGACGCGUCUGCCCUCGGUCUUCGACAAUCCCCUCCCGUUUUACCGAAGAUUUUUCGAAACACAUAUGUUUUGUUCAUAUCGAUUAAUAGUCUCUUUUCUCCCCCUUUUUACAAAAAUAUUGAUAUUUCUAUAAAUAAGAUAAAUAAAGAAUUCUGCUUGGAAUAAUGUAACUACCAAACGAGAAAUUUAUUAUUUCUUUAUAAUUAAAAAAAUCUUUUGCGCAAAUUAUAAUUACAUAGCUUUCAGUUAGUUAAAAUAGUAAACUUGCAUGGAUUAAUUAAUAAAACAAUAUUUGAAACAUUCUUUGUAAAUUCAUUCGCGCGCACACAAAAUGUUUUAUUCAUUUAAUGUACUUUGAUUGUUGUUCGAGGCAAAUUCUUGAAAUAAUUGAUACUUCACCUAUAGAGGAAUGUUUCAUCGAUUUGUCAAUGAUUCUUCUUCAUCGAUCUGCUGCAUUGUUAGAUACGAUUACACACCGACAAUUAUCUGUCACAUAAACACUUCAAUGUAACUCAUAUAGCCUGAUACACUGAUCGGGACAAUAGAAUACGACAGUCUAUGUAUAAUAAUUUUUGUCGGAUUAUUAUUUCUUCAACAUUAGAGCUGUCGUCACGGUAAGUUGUAACAUUUGCUCAACAAGCGCCAUGAUUUAUCACUCGCGAUGCGAAGCGAGAACGAGAAUGUUCUGAGAAAAUUCACUGAGAAUACACUGUGGGAACAGAAUUCAUCUGAAAAUAUUCCCUCGUGGGGAAAUAUACAACAUAUACGGUAUAUAUUUGGAAUAUCUAUAUGUAGAAAUAUUUUCUUCGAAAGAAUCAUAAAAUGUAUAUUUUAUAUCAAAGUAUAUUGUAUAUUUAUCAAUGUCUUUCAAUAUUCACUGACUUUCUAGUUGAAAUUGGAACUAAUGUUUUCUAAAAAUGGCAGUGUUUGAAAAAGACAAUUUUAUGCCCUCGAAAGAAAAUUACUAAAAUAACAUUAAGAAACUUAAAAAGUGUAAAUACAUUAAUAAUAAAGUAAAAUUAUUUAUGAGAAAAAAUCAAAAUGAUACUUCGCAAAAUAUCGAUUUCUCGGUAAACUUACGCGUUACUUAUAUCAUUAUAUACCUAUCGUUUAUAUCCCAAAAAUAAUUUAACGCACUGCCAUUUUCCUCUACAUCUGCAAAUACACGGCGCAUUCUCGGCAAGGACGUGAUUCACAAUCCACAUUAUCAAGAUUUUCUGAUAUAAGAUAUAUUUCCUCAUUCAAGAAGAUUGCCUUAUCACAUGCUUAUGGCGCGACAUAUUAUGAAAAAAAUCAACUAAUCGUCCUUAACGAUAAAGAUGCGGUCCUCAAUCGAUUUGCACAUUCCUUAUAUAUCUCUUGGUGAUGAUAAAAACAAGCAAGUUUUACAAAAAAAUUUUAUCUUUUAAUUGAUAUAAUUUAACAAUAACCUUUUUUUUUCUCUACAUGUAUCAAAUCUGAAAAUAGCCUACUAGAAAUUGCUCAUCACUUCUAAAUAGUUCAUCUUAUCUUUUGAUAACUUUAGUUACAUUCCAAGAAAUUUCACUUUCAGAUUUAUAUAAAGAAAUAUGAUUUUUUACGCAAAAACUUUUUCAAUCUAUUUAUUUCACUCUUUAUCUUCAUUGAACAUAACUACAAAGUAUUAAUUACGCUUACAUCAGCCAAUAGCAAAACAAUAUAUAUAUAUAUAUAUAUAUAUACAUACAAACAUCUCCUUUAUUAUAGUCUAAUAAUUUUUAUAAAUCGAUAUCUGUAAAAAUUUAAAAUAUGCACGUAAAAUUUUGCCUCCAUAUAAUAUUUAAACGCGGUCUUGGGGAAAGUAUCCGGUGAAGAGCUCCGAUGCUCAUAACCGUUCGGUACCGCGCACGAUUUGAGCGUCCGUGAUCGCACGGGGGAGAUUGGAAUCCCUUUCACGUCGAGAAUGCGUAUAACCCUUGGCGAGGGCCGCGGCUUUCGGAGAAAUCGGGAUCAGAUAUCCCGAGCAUUCCACCGGGAUGAUUGUCGGGUGCUAUAUUGAGUCCUCCCGCGAACUGCCUUAUCGCAGGGCCGCAAAAACGGUAAACGUCAAAACAUCGUCGCCGGGGGACUAUCUUCGACCCUGAGGUUGGCACGUUUGGCGCGGGGAUCGUCGUACAGUAGCCUCCUUAUUACCGGGAAUUUAACAUGAUAGCUGCGUCACGGUCGCACAGAAAUAGAGUCGUGAUAAACGACACCGUGGCGUCGCGAAACGACGUACGUAGGCAACUGCCGUCGGAUUUUUCGAAUACGGAAAUACCAUUCUUUGCUCUUCACGGAAGUAUUUACUUUCCCCACACACGCGUAAACUCUGAAAAGCCACGAUAUUUUAACAACUGAUUUUUUUAACAUAUUUUCGUCUACUAUCCCAGAAUUACAAUAAAAUUUUGAAAUCUCGUUUAAAAUUGAUUGGAAUGUCGUUUUGUAUCUUUGAUUUCCCCAUUCGAUCUCCCAAGGUUUAAUAAGUCUUCGUUUUCCCGAUCCGAAAGUUAUAGAUACCUCCGCAAAGUGAAAUACAGAUCCGAAGAAAUUACCAUUUAAAUUAUUUAAAAGGAGUCGAGUGAAAGAUCAAAGAUUUCAAUAGCGAUAACACGUUUGUGAAAGAUCGCAUUUCCCGAUUAUCUCCGUCACUGUAAGCAUAUUACUGUAUCGAUAAUGAUAUGAUAACCCGACGAUAAACAAUGUACGACAAACUCCGCAUCGUAUUACAAAGAUUUCAAGCCUCGGAUGUAGAACAAUAAGCCAUCGAGCGAGAGGAAACAAUGCGCGGUCUUACCGAGAUAAUCGUCACUUUGACGAGAGAAAGAGAAAAGAUGCGAUUGUCCCGGGCUCGAUUUAAUCGUCGCGCGAAGGUAAAGCGCCAUAGGGGCGGAACGCCUCCCCUAGAGGUAUUCGCGUAUUUUCGCGAAUCGCAAAGGGGACACGGUAGCCGGAUACGAAUUCGGAACGUGGCGGCGUUGGAUACUCCGUUAUCGCGGCUUAUAGCGGCUGAUAGUGUCUCGAUAAUCGCGCUUCGUGCAUUCCUGCCGCGAUAAGAUAGCAGCGCGGGGCCCAGUCGUGUGACUCAAUUUUCGCUCUCGCUUUACCGAGCCUGCCCGCGUGUACAUUGUGCGCGAAAAUGCGCUCGCCCGAUAGCCGGGAAAUAUGCACCACACGUGUGCACGCCCGGCAGAAAUGCUGAUGCUUUCGGAUAUACGAACGCCACACAGCGCCGUGCGCAAUAAACGUACACGCAUUGUACACACACACACACACACACACACACGCACACAUGCACACGCGCACACAUUUCCAAGAGCACGGCGCGCUUGAUCCGAUGAAGUCAGUUGGCAACAAAUUACGCCGAGGCAUAAACCGACCCAAUGAAUGCCAUCGCCAGGAUAACCAUCCUACUUGUGUGUUGCCAAUGAUAUAAUUUCUCUAGCCGGACGUCGAACUCCAGUCCGGUCGCACUCACCGCGCGCGGGACGGUGCUCUCUCUCUCUCUCUCUCUCUCUCUCUCUUUGUGGCCCACGCGGCAGGCGCGCAACGCAUCUAAGGUCAAUCCCCGGAGUUUAAACCGCUGAUAAAGAUUGAUACUCGGAACGUUAGCGGAGAUCUUCCCGUGUUGUUCGAAUGUAAAUUAGCGUUUGCUGAAUUCAGCUGUUUAUGAAAAUUUAUUAUCUUGAGCGAAAAUAUCGUGGACAUUGAUCUGCAUUGAUUAUUUCGACCGACUGAUAAAUCAACGUUGAUAAUUAAUAUCAAUAAUAUUAAGUAAAUGCUGUACAACCACUGUGUGAUGUUUCUGAGUCAUGUAACACGUGCUAUGUAGAUGCAUGGAAUAAUCUUUAAUUAUUCCGCGCGGAAAGAUCUGCCACUUGCGGACUUGAAAAGUAUUUUUAAAAAAAGUUAAAAACCUGUAAAAUCCAGAAACCUUUUAAUCCUGUGGAGGCAUUCGAGUUUAACGGAAGCGGAGUAAACGAACUCUAAACUGGCAAAAGCUCGCUGCUACCGCGAACUUCCCGAUGACUUGACUCGGUAAAAGCAAAAAGGACUUCAGGAGUCUCCGUCUUCCUUUUGCAUAUUUAACGAGACCACGCUCACGUUCCAAAAAUUCAAACUGCCGAGAGAGCAUGACGCGCUAUAAAGAGACGCAGAGACAGAGGCGCAUCAAAGAGAGUUUGAGAAAGCAAGAGAGAAAGAGAAAGACAAGAAGGCAGAGAGGGAGAGAGAGAGAAGCGUGAAAUUCCGUCGGAUCUCUAAAAAUAGUUGCUUACAAAAAGGAAGAAUAACACGAAUACAUAUAUCUGGUCUUUGGAUAAAAGCGUAGGCCUAUUUAUGUAUCGCCCGGUAGAGAUGGAAUCCCGGUCCCUUCGUAUGGUCGUUAACAUUGUUUGUCCCUGGAGGAAGGAGAGCCAUAGGAAUGUGAAAAGCCACGCCGGCGCAAAUGGCCGAUCUCUUCGCGGUUAAUUUCGAGUCCGAAUCCCUCGCGGAACGUUAAAAUGGCAAAACAAUCUGGGAAUUUCGCGCGGUAUUCUAAACAAAAAAAAAAAAAGGAAGAGGCAACUUGGAAAUAAUCGCACCGACGCGCGAGAAGGUAACCCUCGCUGUUUUGUAAGUAAAACGCACAGGCACGUCCACAUCGAAUAAUUAAUGAUGCACUUUCUCAUCUCACGUGAGUUGUUAAAUCAUAGUUGUUAAAUCAAACUCUUACAAUGCAACGUGGAAAACGGCAUUGAAUAUUAAUCACAAAUUGGAUAAAAGUGUUACUUAACUUUGUAACUUUUAAUAAAUCGAUAUAAAAAGUGAGUGUAAAAUUUUUUUGUUUGGAUAUGAAACUUUGGAAAAAAUACAGAAACUUCCAAUUCUUCAAAAAGUGUAAUUAUUUGUUCAUAUGAAAACGAGUGAUUCUCAAUAAAAGAUAAAUUAAGAACAAAUUAAAUGUCACGAAAAAACGACGCUCAAUUCUGUUCACCAAAUCUACUAUAUUUUUUUCAAAUAAGUAAUUUAUAAUUUUUUAAUAAAGCAUUUGUACGUUUAGACAUAAAUUUAAAAUAAAAAUGAAAUACUUAGCUAAUUUUGACAAAAUUUUCACUUUUCACGAAAGAUGAAUGUUAUCAAUAAUUCUAAGUCACUAGUGUUCGAAAUCAACUCGAUGCUGUUCGCAGGAAAAUUGACGGUCUCGGUCGCACUACCGCACAAAAUUUCUCUUCAUCACAAUUUUUCCUUUUAUGAGGAUAAGAAGAGAGAUUUUUCUUAUUUUCGAAGAUUAUUAUAAAAUUUUUAUUCGUUCAAAUAAAAAGUAGUAGACACGAACUCUAAUCUCUAUAUGAAUAGAAUAUAUAAUUUAGUAAGUCUCAGAGCGCAGAGAAGGAGAAAAGCGUGAUAAGAACAGAACAGUGCUUUACGGAUGGUAGAUACCGAUGAACAAGUCGAAUUCUUUCCGCCCCGGCAGCACGUGGGAAUUUCGUGGCAUGCCCUCGGUUCACCUCCUGGGAAAGACAAAAAUAAUUGUGGAAGGACGGGAAGCCGAGGGAACGUGCUGAAAAAGAUAGCACAAGCAUCGUGACACAGACACGAGCGAACUCGAAGCGGAACGAGCGGCUGCAUCUGAUUUCGAAAAAGGGAAAAUCGUUUGAAAUGUCUAAAAAAAUUGUUAUAGCUUUUAAGAAAGUAGGAAAAAAAUGCAAAGGAACAAAAGCGAUCAAUUUGGUAGUUUCAGUGACUAUCGAGUUUCGAUUUCAUGUCGAUAUAAUUUCGCUGAGUCCGGUUUUGAUAUGCUAAAAAUAUGCGAAAAAGGAACUCUUCAAAUUUCGUGUUUUACUUGUUUGCGAAUAAGCUCAUUAUCGGAUGCUUUCGGUAUCUGUAAUAAAUAUCAAUUCAGCAAAAUUGUAUCGGCAUUUAAUCUUUGUUUACUUUAUUCAAAAUUAGUCGAACAACAAAACAAGAUAAAAAAUGCGACAUUUUCAAUAUAAAAUGCCCAGAGUCUGUCAUGUUCAUGACAGUGUGGGCGAGUUUUUUUUUUUCAACGGUAAUCCUCAGGAAAAUAUUUUCAGUGUGUUGAAUAUACCGAUACUAAAGCUAUUCAGAGAGUUUUCAACAUUAUAGGAUUUAAAAAGUACGUUUUUUCCGGGAGCAUAUUUUUGAACAGAAAAGUUAAAAAGAAACCGUUGCGGAACAUCUGUAUGUCGAAAUAUUCGACAGCGGAAAUAAAGGAUCGCUGGCAUCCCCGGCGGCGCGAAAGGAGCAUCAUCUCGGCGAGUUUGGAGAAGCGGCGGACGGUAGCGUAUCCGCUCAUUCUGGCGCGAUCGUACGCCCUCGGCAAUCCUCGUGGCUCUCCGUGGCGUCACUUCGUGGACCGCCUGGGGGCCCUACGCGAGCGUAACACCGGUAGCUACCAUGCCAAAAGGGUCCCAUGGUGCGAGUUACGCGAGACCGGGAGAAAGAGAGACAAGCGGAAAAAUAAAAGAGCGAAGAAAGAGAGAGAGAGGAGAAGAGGGGAAGAAGGAACCUGCGGAGGACGCGUCGUGAGGGAGGGAUAGGACGAGAAGGGAGAGGGGGAGCAGAGGGGAAAGAAAGGGCGAAAUAUCCGAGGAGAAGGGGGGGGGGGACCGAAACGACAGGGACUCAGGGGGGAACCGGCAUCUUUUCUUCGCGAUGUAUUGACGCUCGAAAGAACGGCGUUAAGGCCCCUCUCAACCUCCCUACCGUCACGACGCCACGUACUACGUCGAUUCCCUCCCUGCCCUUCUCCUCCGCCAACCUCGACGCGGAGUCGCUCUGGGCCCAACGGCGUGGAGAAGGUCGAGAGGGGAGUCAGCUCAGCCAGCAGCAGCAGCAGUGGCGGCAGCGGCGGCGGUGGCGGCGGUGGAGGAGAGCAGGAGAGGGCGGAUUCGAGAGGACGGGAGACAUUCCAAUCUCUCGUGGCAAGUCUGCUUGCCUGCCUGGCUUGCCUGCCUGUUCCCUCGCUCGCCUGUCUACUCGCCGCUUGCCAAGUCACCGUCCUAAAGCCGGCCCACGCUAUACAACGAGUGGCACACGGACGAUCGUAACCGUAUAGAAUCUCUUGGGCUAUCAGGCCGAUCGAUUUUUAUUUCGGGAUAAACGAUGAAUCGUACGAUCGAGGGGAAUCUGCCAGAAAUGGUCCGAAAUUGGAAGCGUGAUGCGCACCGAGAUGACUCAUGAGAGACUAGUAGCAUAAUUAAGUUUCACAAUUGAUUCAGCGACAUUCCCUUGCGUUUUUUGAACUUGAAGUAAAACGAAUACAUAUUUAUAUAUUUUGAAGAGAGAAAGAUGAAGAGUACAACUAAAAACAAGAUAGGUAUUUAAACAUCGGAUUAAGUCUUUCGAGGGUUAAAAGUUCGGUAUAUUUUUUAUUAAUCCGUUGACAAUGCAAAUGGAAAAUGUGAUAGAAAAGCCUUUUGCCUCGAGAUGAUUCGUUCCGUCAAUAAUGAAAAACUUUGUACUUGUAUACGAGUAUAAAUAAUGCAUUCUUUCGUGGUAGUAGCAUCACAACGAUCGCACACUUGACAAGUUGCGACGCAGAAAUCGAAUUGGAACGCGGCUGCAUAGAUGUACAUCUCCAGGUUGCACGCUUUCAAUACGCGAGAAAAAGCGAGACGGGAGACGUACAAUGCAGCAUAGCAUACGCCGUCGUGCGCCGCAGAGAUCCAGUUACAAAGAACGAAUCUGCUUUCACAUUUAUCGAAUUCCAACGCCGUUCGUUCUUUCGUUCGUUCUGCAUACCGCACUACCGAGAAUCCGUCCCGAGUGAUUUUGCAAAGAGCCGAGGCCAGUUGUUGCGACAUUGUUGCCCACAUGGUCAACGGCGACGAAAGGACGAUUAUACGUGUCCCAAAGCGAAUGAAGUGUCCUUCCCAUUAAGCAAUUCGAGUCGGUCUUGGAGCGAGAUACCACAAUAAGUUUCGAGAGAAUUGUAACAAAUUAAGAGAAGCCUUUUUACAAUUUCAUCUUCAAGAAAUUGGAUUGAUGACAGUUACUAUUCGUUCAAACGGAGCGUAUUACAUUAAAAUUUUAAUUGAAAAUUAGCUGCACAAAGAUGACGUGUUAAAGUUAUGACGAUAAUAACUAAAAAAUAAUUCACUUAAUUUUUUUCAUAGAAAAUGUUCAUUUUAUACAUUCGUGUUCUGCUUACCAAAAUGCAUCUUGAUAUUUUGUGCGAAUAAAAAUUGUUUAAUUUUUAUGUCAAAAUUAAAGAACAGUAUCAGAAAGAAUGUUUUAUCGGGAUAAAUAAAUUAUGUAUUUUAAUUGAAUAAAUCAUUGUUGCGUGCCUAAAUGUGUUCUUUUUAUAUUCUCCUUAAUAAAAUUUUGUAUGGAAUCUCCUCAUUUAUUUUUUCAUCAGUUUUUAUUUAUGCAGAUAACGAUAUGUAAUGAUAUUCAUCUACCUAAUACAUAUUCAUCGUUCGAAAUGCUAUGUAACAAAAAUUUCAUCGUCUUCGGGCACUAAAGAAAACACGACAUAUGUAUAAAAUGGAAUGUAAUUAAUUAAUGGCAAUCCAUUGGCGAUUAGGCGGCGCCAACAGAAAUCGAUACAGCGACCGGUCGUGGAUGACGAUGUCAACGACUUCAAAAUAUCGAAUUCAAACCGUUAUGAGAGGCGCAUAUAAAUAUAUGUACAUAUACAUAAAUGCAAUAUAUACACUUGUAAACACUCUAUCGAAUUACGAUGAGUACAUUAUGCGUCGUACAUCAUGUUAAAAUUACAUUCUUAUCUAAUGGGACCUCGUAUUAUAUUUGUAAUUGAAAAAUAUGCAUUUGAAUAAAAAAAUAGACUAAUAACGUGACAUUAUGACAAUAUCACUUAUCGAAGCAAAUAAUCGUCUUUUUUAAUCGUUUCUUUUUUUCGCAUCGCUGAAAGGAAGAAACAGACGCUCAAGUUAGGAAACAUCCCAUAUACGUAGCUUUCCUUAAAUUUCACGCGCAGCGGUCGCCCGUUUAAUCCUCGGAUAAUCUCGGAAAUGCAAUUAUUUGCAUUCAAUACACCCAAUGCGAUACGUUACCGGGAUCAACGGGCCAGAAGACGUCACACCUAUCAGUUGCGUUCUGAAAGCGACAGGUCAACCAGCGAGCCGGUUCCUAUUUGCAGAGGAGAGUCACCGCGACGUUUCCCGUUUCGUUGGUCCCAGAAACCCCGCUCGUGGAGCGGAUCAUUGGGCCUGGUCAGUGACGAGGGAACGCGUGACGUGGCUGUCAACCCGAAACCCCGCGAUCAACCCUCUUGGGUUGUCCGGGCGCGCAUCGUCGAGACGGACGAUUUCGAGAACCGAUAGAAUGCCGAGCGAGACGACAAGGCUGGCCGUCGACUUCUUCUACCUGCUGCACUUUAAACUCACACCCGAGGUCCCUGACGUAUGGGGGGAGAGGGGGGGGGGGCGAUAUCGAAUUCGACCAAACACACACAACCUACACGUCGGUCAGAGUUUGAUCGUAACAACGAUGACUGCAUACCACGAAAGAUAGUAGAGGAGACAACGAACUCUCAGCCAGCGAUUUUCUGUUUGUCUCGGGCUCUCUUAAAGCAUCUAAAUUUAAAUAGGGAUGAUAAAAGGUAACAAUUUAUCACGCGUCGCGGUUGGCAAUCUGUGCGACUUGUGUUUGAACGUGCCUCGGAAUUUUUUUGCCAGAAAUAAAAGGUUUAAAUUGGGAAACACAUUGGCACAAGGGCGAUUUACGCUGGCAGUCGCGUCGGCGACGACGACGGCGACGGCGGCGGUGGUGGCGACCGGACGGUCGGGGAGGCGGGAGACACAAGUUGAAACAUCAACCGGGGAACGAGUCCCCGGGCGGCGGGGAAAAAACGUAUGCGACGCGCGCCGAAAGAAUGAAAUUCCUCGAUCGAUCCCGUCGAUCGAUCGAGCGGACGGACGGAAAGGAACGAAAUGAGGCGAGCGGCGGAGGAACGAACGAACGGAGAGGGAACGAAGAAAGUCCGGGCACCUGCGCUUUCGAACGAGAUCCGCGAUAUGAUUUACGGCAUCGAGGCAUUCGCAGUUUCCUCCGGCGGUGUCAUAAUCGGUUUUGUAUCUGUCCGCGCGAGAGAGCCGACGAGCGAUACGGGCCGAGCGGGCAAAAAUAAAUGGCAAUUAACAUUCCUCUGGCAUCUCGCUGCCUCUCGACGGGGCAUCACGCAGGCCGAGAAAGAAAGAGAGAAGGAGGGAGGGAAGCAAGAGAGAGAGAGAGAGAGAAAGAGAGAGAGAAAUGGAGGGGAGGGGAUUGAGAAACAGAGAGGAGCGGGACGCUGAGCUGCUCCAGGGGCCUCAGGACCGGGGCCCGUAGCAUGCAGCGGGGUGGGGGUGUAAGAAACGGGGCCCGCGCGCCUCUAGGAGGCCGGCAAAGCUCAGGCAAAGCGCGGCCCGUCCGUCCGUCCAUCCGAAAAAUGUCAGAUUCGAGCCAGGGACGCUCUUGCGUUACGGCGCACGAAAUUCGUGGAAUUCCUGGACCGCGAGGUCGGGCCCCGGAGACUUUCGAGUCUUUCUUUCUCUCUCAACGGAUUACGGGGGACGCUGACGAUACCGCGACACUAGCCGAGUGUAUACGGAUACUUUCACCUCGAAAUCCCGAAUUACUUCUCAGCAUCGGCAUUAUCGAAAGAGAUAGUUCCUGACAUUUCCCUUUUUCUUUCCUAAAGGCAGAGAAUUAAUAAGAUUUUCUCUCAUAGCCAUAUUUCAACUUACUUCGUCAAAUAUCGUUACGUCAAUUACUCUGCUUGUCGUUAAGUGUCAAAAGGAAACUUGCGCCACUCAGGUGACACUGAUAUUUUUUUCUCGCGCAUUAAAGGUUGUAAAUUUCUUUUUGGUUUUUCCGUAAAUCUUGAGAUGCCCGCGAGGAUGCUGUGGAAAUUGCGGAUUGAGACACGUUACGUUCCGUACACGGAACGAACGCGAGAUUUAUGGUUUGGUAAUUAUUCAGCACUCGAUGAUAGGUUUUAUUAAUCAUUCAUCGCACUUAGACGCGAUACCGCUAGAUGCUAAAAUGCUAUUAUCCCGUAGAACGAUUAGUUCCAGGAACAAACAGUCGCUUAAUCCAAACGAUAGAUAUACGAGCAAUAAUAGAUAUUUACGUUUCCGCUCAUUGUCGGUAUUCUUAAUGCUGUAUAAUUUUAAACGCGCUCCUUUUUUGAAAUGCUAAUUGCAACGGUAACGAUACGAAAUGGACAAAUCGAUUGUAGAGUAUGUGGCGUAACUCUAAAAAGAAGCGAAAAAAAAGGUAAACUCCUUCAAUCAAGGUUUUAAUCGUGGCGUCUCCGGCAAUUCUUAUCUAAACUUUCGAAAUUCCUGAAGAUUACGUCACAAUCCUCUCACGAUCAUGCCAUGGCCACUACAUCGUCGGAACGCGGAAAGUCGUUUGUGAAUUAAAUUCUAUUUACAUUUCAAUGCAUACAAUAGUUUUUCCAUAUGACAAUUUGAUAUAUAUCGACAGAAUAAAUCAUAGAAAAUAUACCCAUAAAUUAUGCAAACCAAGUAUCACUUUUCGAUAUCACUUUUCGCGGCAAGCGAGAGAAAGAGUGGAAAAAUAUUUCAUUUCUUAAAUUUGGAAAACACUACAAAUCGUAAAUUCUCAAAAUUCUGACGAUGUUAUGAAGGAGAGGAAUAUAAAUUGCUAAAUAUAAGAGUUGCGCAAAAUGUGUCCCGUCGUUCCCGUUCCGAUCAUAAAUUCAAUGACGCUAUGUUGACUCAGAUAUCAUUGAUUUAUUAUGCUGCACAAAAGUAUCACGUGCAGAUUCGCCUGACAUAUACGCGUUUCGCAUGAGAGCAAUUUCAAUGUUACGUGCAAAUCGGCUCAAAUAUAUCGACGACAAACAUUCGAAUCAUCUAUACGUCCGUGCAAUUCCUUCAGAAUCUCUAAAGUGUUGUUUGACUUUAUAUAACAUCGAAGGAAUACAAGAUACAACAUAUGGUAUAUAUUUAUAGCAUAGCAAAUAUAUACAAUAAGAAAGAUAAAAUAUAAAAUGCUGCGUUCAUCUGAACCUCAAUGUUUAAAUAAUUCUUGAAAGAGUACGUGCACUAUAAUACGCGUUGAAUUUCAGAGACUCAGGUGGUUCAGGAAGUUGCGUAUAACUACAUAAUAAUCAUGAUAAAUAUAUAGAUUUUCAGUAACAGUUACCGGUUGGCGGAUAAGCGGACAGAACGUUAUUUGCACCAUUGCAAGGGAAAAUUUUCCAUUGUACGCAUCGCGGCGCCAAGUCGCGAUGAGACGCUACUGCCCCACGGCUUAUCCGUCGCUGGACGAGCGCGGGGAGAGCCUCGGCACGAUGCCGGGAGAAAAGCCGAGUGAGAGAGAAAGAGAGAAGAGAACGGACGGCGGAGAGGGCUAUUUGCAUCGGAAUGCAAGCCCCGGCUCUCCGCGUUACGCUCGCGCGCUCGCGCGCGCGCGCGCGCGAGAGUGUGCACGCACGCAAGUGCGUGCGACGCGUAUGUAUGCGUGAAACUCCCAAGGAAGGAAACCGCGAAGUUCCUCCGAUACCUCCGAGUACUUCACGUGAAACUACUCCCAUGGCGGCAUGAUUUCGCGUGCGAAUAAACUUCCGCGGAAAGUUCUGCCGCGCGUUUUCCGAAGAACGAAAAUAUUCAUCAUUGGAGAUCCAUAUUGAUAAAAGAGUAAAAAGGAGGAAAAGGGAAAUCUGCAAUUUUUAUCCCGAAUUUUGAGAAACAUGGAAGGAGAAAAAUUUCUGUUGUAUCGCAGUUGUGUAUCUUUGAUGGGAACGCUGCUCGGAAUAUUUCAAGAAUUUUAAGAAUGUUAAGAACCCACACAUUAUCUCUUGGCAGCAAUCUGGGUUUGGAUAUCUUAUUUCCCACGCAUACAUACGCACGCGAGGAUUAUACCGCGUUGCUUGUUAAUUUGUGACGCGAAAGGAUGUGUAUCCACCGCCGAGGACUAUUCCUGCGCAAACAUGUUUACCCCAAUAAAUGUGUUUACGCCCGAAAUGCGGUGAAUUUUAUAGAUGCUAGAAGCUCAAUAAACUGGAUUAAUAGAUCCAAUGACGCAAGCGAUAGGUUAUCGAGUAUUGUAUUUAUACGGUCACCGGUCUCAAGUUACUUAAUCCUACGAUUACGAAAGCGAGUCCUAAAAAAAAAUUGCGGUGAAUAUUUAAGGUGAAUCCUAAGCAACCUGAAAUUUUUAAAUUUCAAGUUUCUAAAAUAAAUGUAAUUAAUUUUGAAAAAGGAAAUAAAAUGUAAUAUAAAAAUUUCCGAAAAAUGAAUCACAAAUUGGAUAAAAUUGUUAUUUGACAUAAAUUAUAAUUGUAAAAAAAUCAUUAAAGUAUUUAUUAUUUACUGUAAGUACAAAUUUAAAAAAAUUAUUUGUUUAAAAUAAAAUUUCAGAUUUGUAUCUUUCGAAACUGAACUUUCUUCACGAAAAGAGGUAGGCGCAGUGUGCGUGAAUGUGAGAAACAGUUUAGUCUACAAACUUUGCCGCGUGGUUGCACAGCGUGAAAUUCGCCCAAUUUAGAAGGACAAAUAUGCCUUAUCCGGUAUAGAAAGAGGCGAUUUAAUUAUUUUUUCUAUAUGUAUACCAAAAAUUUUUUUAAUGCAAAGAUUACAAUGCAAUUCUUUCUAAAGAUUGCCUAUUGAAAGUUUAAAAAGUUAGAACAAUGCAUAUUAGUGUGUAUUUUCUUUAUUUUUCCCUUAUUUUAAACGUUGCCCUUAUUUAAUCUACAUUAAAAAUUGAAACAACUUUGGUUCAGAAAUUUAAUUAUUUAUUAACACUGAUCGAUUUGUAUUUAUGUUAAAACGUAGAAUACCGAAGUAAUUGAAAUUUUGUGAUACUCGAGCAUUUCAAAAAAGAUUCGAUUUUAAAAUAUGAUUUUAAUUUCAAUAUUUUUGACUUAUUUAAAAUAAAUUAUCAUUUUUUAAUUUUUCUUCUGAGUAUCUUGUUAGAAAUCGCAUUUGGGACUCUCUUUCGAAAUUCUUUUUUUUAUAUAUAUCUCCUUAAAAUAGUUUUCAAAUUACGAGUUUCUUUUUUCCCUUCCUCUGGAUAAUAUUCUCAUAAGUUGAGAUUUGCUGCAUUAAUUUUCUAGCUCAAGUAGACUUGCCAGUGGGUUUUAGUUUAGUCGUCUAAUAUUGUGCUCUUUUAAGAUCUCGAUCUCUUUAUCAUUGUUAACAAUGAAUGUUUUCGCUUGAGAAGGAAGUAUUCUCUCUAAGCAGAGCUUAUGAAUAAUAAGCUACCUGCUUGUCAGCUUGUAUUUCCUACACACAACAUAGCUAACCAUUAUUUUCCACUAAGGGGAUUCCAUGAAUUUCCUAGUUUAUUUUUCUUGUCUGCUUCCUGAUUUUUUCUCCUUUGUUUUUUCCUGUCAUAAUAAAAGUUACGCACUUUUUUUAUUUCAAAAAAAAAAAAA
rnacentral:lncRNA from 1 species